rnacentral:RNase_P_RNA from 2 species
CGAGGGGGACAAGGCGUUCGCGGGUGAGUAGCCCUCACGGGCGAGAGCACUCGAGGAAAGUCCGGGCUCCGCAGGGCAGGGUGCUGGCGCAGGCCAGUCGGGGCGACCCGAAGGAAAGUGCCACAGAGAAUCAGACCGCCCGCGUCCGCGCGGGUAAGGGUGAAAAGGUGCGGUAAGAGCGCACCGGGGACCUGGCGACAGGGACCGCACGGUAAACCCCACCCGGAGCAAGGCCAAACAGGGACACGGUGGCUCUCCGCAAGGAAGUCACCAGGGGCUGCCCGUCCCGUCCCGGGUAGUGCCGCGUAGAAGAAUGACCGCCACCUGGGGGAGGCGACGAACCCAGGGACAAAACCCGGCUUACGACCCCGCUCGUCCG